UUUUUGUUUUUUGGUUUUUUUUAAGUUUUUUUUUUUUCUUUUUUCUUAGAGAUGUUUCAGAUCUUGGUUAUUUUCAUGCCUCAGCAGUGAUCGUAGUUCCACCCGCUUCAUGCCCUGUGGAGGAGUUGACCAUUUUACCUAGCUUCACUGUUACAUCGAGGCCUACGCUCCUUUCCUGCUGCAGCAUUACUGCGGCCAGGCAGCUCCUUAGUGGGGGGAAGGAGUGGCCCAGGGACCAGAGGCCGGCUGUGGCAGAGCCUUCUCUCUCGGCGCACAGAGCUUGGGCACCAGCAGCGAAGCAGAGAACUGCAAGCACAGCAGCGUGCAAAGAGCAACACACCUUUCCUCUGCCAACCUGCCUGAGACCCUCACCAGCAUCUCCUCCAGGUGAGAAACAAUUCUGAAAUGUAUUACUUCUGCUGUGGCUAUCACCACCUCCUCUUCACUGAAUUGUGAGAACUCAUCUUGGCCUGCCGCUUCUCCAGUCCAG
rnacentral:lncRNA from 1 species